rnacentral:rRNA from 1 species
AUGAACGCUGGCGGCGUGCCUCAUACAUGCAAGUCGAGCGAACAGAUAAGGAGCUUGCUCCUUUGACGUUAGCGGCGGACGGGUGAGUAACACGUGGGUAACCUACCUAUAAGACUGGGAUAACUUCGGGAAACCGGAGCUAAUACCGGAUAACAUUUGGAACCGCAUGGUUCUAAAGUGAAAGAUGGUUUUGCUAUCACUUAUAGAUGGACCCGCGCCGUAUUAGCUAGUUGGUAAGGUAACGGCUUACCAAGGCGACGAUACGUAGCCGACCUGAGAGGGUGAUCGGCCACACUGGAACUGAGACACGGUCCAGACUCCUACGGGAGGCAGCAGUAGGGAAUCUUCCGCAAUGGGCGAAAGCCUGACGGAGCAACGCCGCGUGAGUGAUGAAGGGUUUCGGCUCGUAAAACUCUGUUAUUAGGGAAGAACAAACGUGUAAGUAACUGUGCACGUCUUGACGGUACCUAAUCAGAAAGCCACGGCUAACUACGUG